AGGCAUUUAGUUUAAGAAAAAUAUUUGAUUUCGGCUCAAAAGUCUGCGGUUAAAGUCCACAAUUGCCUG
rnacentral:tRNA from 1 species